rnacentral:rRNA from 1 species
CAGCCGCCGCGGUAAUACGGGGGGUGCAAGCGUUGUCCGGAUUUAUUGGGUUUAAAGGGUGCGCAGGCGGGGGGGUCAGUCCGCGGUGAAAGACGAUCGCUCAACGAUUGCAGUGCCGUGGAUUCUGCCCUUCUUGAAUCUGGUUGAGGCCGGUGGAAUUGACCGUGUAGCGGUGAAAUGCAUAGAUAUGGUCAAGAACUCCAAUUGCGAAGGCAGCCGGCUGGGCCAGCAUUGACGCUCAGGCACGAGAGUGCGGGGAUCAAACAGGAUUAGAUACCCCAGUAGUCCCUGUCUCUUAUAC